UCGGCCUAGUAGGUAACAAACUUCUCAGCCACGCAGAGAGCACAAACUUCCUGAUCCUUCGAUGCAGAGAAGGAAGAACACAUCAGCGAUCUCAGGAUCGCUAGGCAACCUACCUUGGUGUUUCUUCACUGGGCCAAUCAGAAACCACCAAGGUUGAGAUCAGCCAAUCGGAACUUACAAGGGGAGGCUCUCCCCAGGCUAUUGUGUUGCGAUCCCGACAAACACCACCAAAAGGAGGCAGGUUUGGGUCAACCUGACAGCUGGUCAAUCCAAUGAAGUAACCUUGGUAGGAGAGCGGAAAGGGAGCUGUGCUCCACAACCCCAUUAAACCAGCCAAUCAAAGCGUUCACUGAGCUAGCUCAAGCUGCAGAUCUACAAAGGAUUUGUUGGUCAAUCUCUGUAGCAGUGCUCACACAGGAAUGGGGAUCAGCUCUCUUUAAAAAAAAAUCUGCUUCUCCAUGACUGAAUGAAAAACUAAAAGUUAAGACCCAAAGAAGCAGAAUUGAAUGCUUAUAUACUGAGUUGGACAAAGAAUACUGAAUUGUGAAAACGUGCUGACUUGUGCUGAUUCCUUGUCUUUGGUAAUGAGUUAAUCUUCCCCCAUUGUGAAACUCCUUGGAAGGGGAUUCAGGACAGUUGAAUUUUUUUGGGAAGCUUUGCUUUUAGGGGCAGCAUAUAACAAAAGGAUAAUAUAUCAGAGUUUUUACCACUUCUGUACAGGAAGAAAGAAUAGUGGCUCGCAUCUAUAGCCACAGACACAGGUCCUUUAUUGGCCACAGCUUCUUUUAAGGCAUCUUCACUGCCAAAGGGAAGUUCAGUAUACUUUGAACAUGUGGCAGCUCGCUUUUUUGAGUCAUAUCUGCACUUUCCAUUCUGCAA